GACGAUCCGUAGCUGGUCUGAGAGGAUGAUCAGCCACACUGGGACUGAGACACGGCCCAGACUCCUACGGGAGGCAGCAGUGGGGAAUACUGGACAAUGGGCGAAAGCCUGAUCCAGCCAUGCCGCGUGAGUGAAGAAGGCCUUAGGGUUGUAAAGCUCUUUCAGCGGGGAAGAUAAUGACGGUACCCGCAGAAGAAGCCCCGGCUAACUUCGUGCCAGCAGCCGCGGUAAUACGAAGGGGGCUAGCGUUGUUCGGAUUUACUGGGCGUAAAGCGCGCGUAGGCGGGUCACUAAGUCAGGGGUGAAAUCCCGAGGCUUAACCUCGGAACUGCCUUUGAUACUGGUGAC
rnacentral:rRNA from 1 species